rnacentral:rRNA from 1 species
AACGAACGCUGGCGGCAUGCCUAACACAUGCAAGUCGAACGAGACCUUCGGGUCUAGUGGCGCACGGGUGCGUAACGCGUGGGAACCUGCCCUUAGGGUCGGAAUAACUCCCCGAAAGGGGUGCUAAUACCGGAUAAUGUCUUCGGACCAAAGAUCUAUCGCCUUUGGAUGGGGCCGCGUUGGAUUAGCUAGUUGGUAGGGUAAAAGCAUACCAAGGCGACGAUCCAUAGCUGGGCUGAGAGGAUGAUCAGCCACACUGGGACUGAGACACGGCCCAGACUCCUACGGGAGGCAGCAGUGGGGAAUAUUGGACAAUGGGCGAAAGCCUGAUCCAGCAAUGCCGCGUGAGUGAUGAAGGCCUUAGGGUUGUAAAGCGCUUUUACCCGGGAUGAUAAUGACAGUACCGGGAGAAUAAGCCCCGGCUAACUCCGUG